CGGGAGUAAUGUCUGGGAAACUGCCUGAUGGAGGGGGAUAACUACUGGAAACGGUAGCUAAUACCGCAUAACGUCGCAAGACCAAAGUGGGGGACCUUCGGGCCUCAUGCCAUCAGAUGUGCCCAGAUGGGAUUAGCUAGUAGGUGGGGUAACGGCUCACCUAGGCGACGAUCCCUAGCUGGUCUGAGAGGAUGACCAGCCACACUGGAACUGAGACACGGUCCAG
rnacentral:rRNA from 1 species